rnacentral:tRNA from 1 species
UCUGUGAUGGCUGAGUGGUUAAGGUUUUGGACUUGAAAUCCAGUGGGGAUUUCUGAUGCGGUUUCAAACCCUGCUUGUAGCG